UACGUAGGGUGCAAGCGUUAAUCGGAAUUACUGGGCGUAAAGCGUGCGCAGGCGGUGAUGUAAGACAGGUGUGAAAUCCCCGGGCUUAACCUGGGAACUGCAUUUGUGACUGCAUCGCUGGAGUGCGGCAGAGGGGGAUGGAAUUCCGCGUGUAGCAGUGAAAUGCGUAGAUAUGCGGAGGAACACCGAUGGCGAAGGCAAUCCCCUGGGCCUGCACUGACGCUCAUGCACGAAAGCGUGGGAG
rnacentral:rRNA from 1 species